UUGAACGCUGGCGGCGUGCCUAACACAUGCAAGUCGAGCGUGAAAGUUCCUUCGGGAGCGAGUAAAGCGGCGCACGGGUGAGUAACACGUGGAUAAUCUGCCCAUCAGUUUGGAAUAACAGUUGGAAAUGACUGCUAAUACCGGAUACGAUCCUGUUUAUCCAGGGUGAAAGGCGGCCUCUGCUUGCAAGCUGUCGCUGAUGGAUGAGUCCGCGUCUCAUUAGGUAGACGGUGGGGUAACGGCCUACCGUGCCGACGAUGAGUAGCCGGCCUGAGAGGGUAAUCGGCCACACUGGGACUGGAACACGGCCCAGACUCCUACGGGAGGCAGCAGUGGGGAAUAUUGCGCAAUGGACGAAAGUCUGACGCAGCGACGCCGCGUGAGGGAUGAAGGCCUUCGGGUCGUAAACCUCUGUCAGGAGGGAAGAACAAGCAUGGUUCUAAUCAGCCAUGCCCUGACGGUACCUCCAAAGGAAGCACCGGCUAACUCCGUGCCAGCCGCCGCCGUAAGAC
rnacentral:rRNA from 1 species